rnacentral:rRNA from 1 species
UACGUAGGGAGCAAGCGUUGUCCGGAAUCAUUGGGCGUAAAGCGCGCGUAGGCGGCCCUGUAAGUCCGUUGUGAAAGUCAAAGGCUCAACCUUUGAAAGCCGAUGGAUACUGCAGGGCUAGAGUCCGGAAGAGGCGAGUGGAAUUCCUGGUGUAGCGGUGGAAUGCGCAGAUAUCAGGAGGAACACCAAUAGCGAAGGCAGCUCGCUGGGACGGUACUGACGCUAAGGCGCGAAGGCGUGGGGAGCGAACGGG